AUAAAACCGGAAGUGCUUGAGACUGGGACUUCAGUACAUUGAAUUUUCAACUACUAGUUAUAUUUCCAAAGAAUUAGUUUUCUUGCAAACGUGUUCUCUCUUUGGUAAUUUUUUGAAAUGCCAUCCUCAGAAGAUUUUAAGCUUGAGAUUCUUGUAAAUAAGCAGCCAAUUCACGAAUAUGUGGAUAAUAAAACAGGGAAAGUGUUCGUUGAAAGUAAUCUUUAUUCCCCAAUUUCUUAUCUUCAAAAAAUUACUGAAAAAAUUGAGGGACAAACUGUAACUCAGAACGUUCCUGUUACUCCAUAUGAAAUUCGUCUUACUACAUCAAAUAAGGCUAGAGGUCAAUACUUUAGAAUCAUGGUUGAUGGAAUGAAAAUAAAAGGAAUGUCUAUUACCCCUGGAAAAGAAAAGUACGUUACGGGAUUCCGAGAUGGUAACAAAGUUCGAGAACUUUUAUUUAGUCUACCAAACAUGUCAGAACAUAAGGAUAGAAUGACAAACGUUAAUCGAUCUGAAAUUGGUACCAUCAGUGUUGAAUGUUGGAAAGGCGUUUUAAGAGCUCGCAUUGAGGACAAGAGAAACCCUCUGAAAUUCACACAAGCAACUAAGAAGGAUGCUUAUUUAGUGACAAAAGGCCAAAGCCUUUUGCCAACGUCCUGUGCAGGGAAAACUAUAGAAAAAAAGAAAGAUACUCGUAGUGUUGAUAAAUGGAGUCUAGAGAAAAAAAUGAGCACACUAACUGUUCAUUAUCGAAUGGCGAAUGAACUUAGUGCUAUUGGAUUUACUGUAGCUGGCGGUAAUAUAAAUGCUCCUGACGUAAAAGAAAAGAGAAUUUCUGACCCUGAGAGAAAAAGGCCCCUAACAGCAGUUAUAGACUUAACUGGCGAUGAUAUUAUCGAAGAAAAAGUUCGUAAGAUCGAUGUAAUUAAUAUCGAAAAUGAGAAAAAUCAAACACGGCCGAAUAGAAAUAAAAAGAAUGGUGUAAACAAUACUGUGAUAAACAGCCAAACUAUGGUUAAAAUUGAAAAUUCAGAAAAAAGAGAUUGCUCUGAUAAAUUGAAAUCAGUCCCUACUGAAAAAGCAACUCAAAAUGAGGAUAUUGCCGAAGACUCAGAAGAGGAAGUGUCAACUCUCAUAGAAAAUAACAGUAAAUCAGAAUCCGAGAAUAAUAGCAGCUUAAGUAACCACGAAGAAGAUAUGGAUACAGAAGAGGAGUCAAAUGAAGAUGAAGAACAAGCUGAAGAAAAUGAUAAAGAGGAGACACUAGCUAAAUCAAAUGACGGAGGGGAACAAACUGAUGUAAACAAGAAAGAUAAGCAAAGCGAAGCAAAUGAAGAACAACAAAGCAAAGCAGAGGUAAAUCAGAAAAGUGAAGUUAAGGAAGAUCCGCAGAAUGAAACAAGGGAAGAUCAGCAAGAUGAAACAAAGGAAGAAGAUCAGCUGGAUGAAACAGAGGGAGAUCAACAAAGUGAAGAAAAUAACGAAGAGAAACAAAUUGCAAUAAGUGAUAAAGAGGAAAAAACAGAAGAAUUGGAAAAUAUUGAAGAAAGUAAUACUACAAAAGAAGACGAUCCAUCUUCCCAAAGCUUACAAAAUGAAGAAACAGCAAAUGGGGAGAAAGAGAAGGAAAAAUGUACAGGUGAUAAGGAAAAAAACUCCGUUGGGAAUAUAGAUAAUAAACAUACCAUGGAAAACAUUGAUAAGGAAGCCGACGGCAAUCAAAGCAAUUCAGAAUCAUUUGACACUCAAAAACAAGAGUCUCAGAAUGAAUCAUUUGCCAAUGUAGAUACUAGUCAGAAUGUCCAUUCUGUGUCUCAAUUCAAAGCCAUUAAUGAGGAUAGCGAUAGUGAAGACAAUUAUGUAUUAUCUGAACCCGAUGAAGACGGUGAUCUAAUGUCAACAUCCUCUACAGUGAUGGGAUAAACUUUUCGUAGAUCUUUAUAGCACAUGAAAAAAACUGAUCAGGAAAUUUUAUUUUUUUCUUAUACAUUUAUGCUCUCGGUUGCUGUAGAACCGAAAUGUCAAAUUUUAUCGCGAAAAAACAAAGUUUUAUUUAAAAGUUAUACAAUGAAAAGCUUUAACUUACAUAAUAGGAAAUCUUAAUUAUAGCUUAAGAGGCUUCUAGUUGAGAUCUUAAUUAUUCAUAAAGAGUCCAAAUUAAACGGCAACAAAAGAUUGGAUAUUUAUGAAUAUUCGAUUGACGGCACACUAAAUCAGCACAUUCAAUUGAAAACCUCAUAAAUACCAACCUCAAUAUGAGUCACAAAGACUUUAUUAUAAGUUCAAUAUUUAUAGCAAGAAAUCUUUCCUACUCCUGCUUAAUGAUACGUUACUUUUAUUCAACUUUGAUUUCCUAUAAUGCGACCAUAUAGAACUUUUCCGAGUUAAGUUAGUAUUAAUUGACUGCUUAGGUAAUAUAGGGUAACUUUGAAUUAUAGGCUGUUCCGAUGCUUCUCUAUAGAAUAUGGGCUGAGAAAGCCUGCUGAAUGUAUAACGAGGCAAUUGCGUCUGAGUUUCAGGAUCGAAUAUGCUAUUUAUCUCUGCCAUUGAUAAAUUACCAGGUGAUACAAAAACAACUUGAGGUGCGGCGGAAACUGUUGAUACAGAUAAUUCGCUUCCCCUUGACUUAUUUUUUAAUGAAUUAGCGGCCCAAAAUGGUACAAACGACGUGAAAAAUGUACAAAUAGUUGCAAAUAUGGCAAAAUAGAAGCAGAAAUUUAAAGCUCCUCCACUUUUCUCAAAUUCUUUUGUUUUAUUAGAAGUCACUCCCAGCCUGCUUACAAAUUGUUUUCUGACGUCUUUCAGCUUCCAAAAAUAGACUAUCCAAGAUACAGCUACCAUUAGGGCGGCUAUUACACAGAUUGUAGGUAUAAUUAUCUUGAGGCUAAUUGAUUCAAAACAAUUAACCAAUAAUGUUAUUAUCCAAGCAAUAAAAAUUAUUAUUGAAGAAGUUAUUAACAACGCCGGUAAGGCCUGCUGCCAAUCCUUUGUUUGAUCUAGCUUAACACAAGAAUUUCCCAUUUCUAUUCCAUCCAUCCAUACUAUAGUACAUUCUUCGAAUAAACCAGCAUCUAUUUGAACGCGAGUUUUCAUUACACGAUUAGUGAAUUUCGUAGAUAUUGUUUCAUCUAUAUGAAACCAAAAAUUUAAGCCUACCGCUAAUGAUAUAAUAACAAAGUUUAAAGGAAGUAAAAACAUUGUUAAGCAAGUUAAUUCGCAAGAUGCCAUGAUGUUAUUUUAAUUUAAUCAAUAUAAAAUCUAUUACUUCGGAUUAAUUAAGUUUUUAAAUUUAAAUCGAAACAAUUCUAUGAUAUCAUGUAAUACAGUAUUAAAAAAAAUUGGCCAUACUUUCGUCUUUUCUCCUUUCUUUUUUAAUUGUUAACAAGUUUAUUUGUU
rnacentral:misc_RNA from 1 species